GGGAAUGGACACAGUUAGAUGAUGCUGCCAGGAUGGCUGCACUGGGAGAGAAGGUUCUGCAUGAGGAGAGAAGGUUUUGAAUGAGGAGAGAAGGUUUUGCAUGAGGAGAGAAGGUUUUACUCUUUGUGGAGAAGGUUUUGCUCUGUGGGAGAAGGUUUUGCUCUGUCUGAAGAAGGGUUUGCUCUGUGGGAGAAGGUUUUGCUUAGUGUGGAGAAGGUUUUGCACUCGAGGAGAGAAGGUUUUGCACUGUGUAGAGAAAGGUUUGCUCUGUGGAGAAGGUUCUGCAUGAGGAGAGAAGGUUUUGCUCAGUGUGGAGAAGGUUUUGCACUAUGGGGAGAAGGUUUUGCUGCA